rnacentral:lncRNA from 1 species
AUGGGUGUGCGGCUGUGCCAGGGGUGUGCGGCUGAACAACAGGGGUGUGUGGCUGUGCCAGGGGUGUGCGGCUGUGCCAGGGGUGUGCGGCUGUGCCAGGGGUGUGCGGCUGUGCAAUGUGUGUGCGGCUGUGCGAGGAGAGAGCGGCUGUGCCAGGGGUGUGCGGCUGUGCGAGGGGUGUGUGGCUGUGCCAGGGGUGUGCGGCUGUGCGAGGAGAGAGCGGCUGUGCGAGGGGUGUGUGGCUGUGCCAGGGGUGUGCGGCUGUGCGAGGAGAGAGCGGCUGAACAACAGGGGUGUGCGGCUGUGCCAGGGAUGUGUGGCUGUGUGAGGGGUGUGUGGCUGUGCCAGGGGUGUGCGGCUGUGCCAGGGGGGGUACAGCCAGGCACAGGGGGUGUUAGGCUGUACAUGAGGGUGUAUAGCCAGGCCCAGAGGGUGUACAGAGGGCACAGGGGAUGUACAGCCCAUCACACGGGGUGUACAGCCGGGCACAGGGGGUGUACAGAGGGCACAGGGGAUGUACAGCCCAUCACAUGGGGUGUACAGCUGGGCAUAGGGUCUGUACAGAGGGCACAGAGGGUGUACAGCCCAUCACACAGGGUGUACAGCCCAUCACACAGGGUGUACAGCCCAUCACACGGGCUGUACAGAGGGCACACAGGGUGUACAGAGGGCACAGGGGGUGUACAGCCCAUCACACAGGGUGUACAGAGGGCACAGAGGGUGUACAGCCCAUCUCAUGGGGUGUACAGCCCAUCACACGGGGUGUACAGCCCAUCUCACGGGAUGUACAGCCCAUCUCACGGGAUGUACAGCCAGGCACACAGGGUGUACAGCCCAUCUCAUGGGGUGUACAGAGGGUACACGGGGUGCACAGCCCAUCACAAGGGGUGUACAGCCCAUCUCACGGGGUGUACAGCCCAUCUCACGGGGUGUACAGCCGGGCACAGGGGGUGUACAGAGGGCACAGGGGGUGUACAGCCCAUCUCACGGGGUGUACAGCCAAUCACACAGGAUGUACAGCCCAUCACACGGGGUGUACAGAGGGCACAGGGGAUGUACAGCCCAUCUCACGGGGUGUACAGCCCAUCACACAGGGUGUACAGCCCAUCACACGGGGUGUACAGCCCAUCACACGGGGUGUACAGCCGGGCACAGGGGGUGUACAGAGGGCACAGGGGGUGUACAGCCCAUCACACAGGGUGUACAGCCCAUCUCACGGGGUGUACAGAGGGCACAGGGGAUGUACAGCCCAUCACACGAGGUGUACAGCCGGGCACAAGGGGUGUACAGUCCAUCUCACGGGGUGUACAGUCCAUCUCACGGGGUGUACAGAGGGUACACGGGGUGCACAGCCCAUCACAAGGGGUGUACAGCCCAUCUCACGGGGUGUACAGCCGGGCACAGGGGGUGUACAGAGGGCACAGGGGAUGUACAGCCCAUCACACAGGGUGUACAGCCCAUCUCACGGGGUGUACAGAGGGUACACGGGGUGCACAGCCCAUCACACAGGGUGUACAGCCCAUCUCACGGGGUGUACAGUCCAUCUCACGGGGUGUACAGCCCAUCUCACGGGGUGUACAGUCCAUCUCACGGGGUGUGCCCAUGCCAGACCAGGACAGAUGUGUACCCACGCCCUGGCUGUGCAGCCUGUGCUGCUGUGCCCCCCGCCAGGCGCGGAGCCGCAGCGGGAGCGGUGCAGCGGGGGCUGCCGGCAGCCCCCUCCUCGCCGCCCCGUGCGCAGCCCCUCGCCGGCUCCUUUUGUUGGAGGCCUGGCCGGCACACGGGCUCCCUCGGCACACAUGA